CAAUGAAUUUCCAUAAGUGAAGCAGAUGACAUCCGCUUGCACACCGAUCUACUCACAAACAUUAGGCAGGUUUUAUAUGUGGAAGAAACCAGUGCUAUCAACCGAGUGAAUAAUCGCAUUCCUUUUAGUGAUGAGAAUGAUGCUGCUUCAAUUAUUCGCAUUAGCUGUCAUAUAGCUACUAUUAUUCAAUCCCUUAGCCCAUCAUUUUGCUAGAACAACAAAACAAAAGGAUAAAGAACUUGGGUACAGAAUGACAGAAUAGAAAUUAUUGCAAUGUAUUACGCUGCAACGUAAUACGUAAUGCCAACGAACAUUCCGAAAAAGCCACCAUCGUUUAUACUAGACAAGUUUCGACUUUUGGAUAAUACUUACGCCGAAGACUGCUUUAAAAGAUAAGCUACCUUGGAUCCUCUAAACGGAUCAUGUCUGCCUUAGUAAGCAACUCUAAGCAACCUGGUUCUGUGCUGAGUUCAACCAGUUCGAUAUUCCUAGUAGCUGCCUAUGUCUAUCAUUUUACCUGCGGCAGCAUCUGC